rnacentral:rRNA from 1 species
GACGAACGCUGGCGGCGUGCCUAAUACAUGCAAGUUGAGCGCUAAAGGUUGGUACUUGUACCGACUUGAUGUGCAGCGCACGGGUGUGUAACGCGUGGGGACUCUCCCUUAGAGCGGGGGACACCUUUUGGAAACGAAUGCUAAUACCGCAUAACAACUUUAUACACAAGUUUUAAGUUUGAAAUUUGGAAUUGCAUCACUCAAAGAUCCUCUCGCGUUGUAUUAGCUAGUUGGUGAUGUAAAGGCUCACCCAGGCGAUGAUCCAUAGCCGACCUGAGAGGGGGAAGGGCAACAGUGAGAGUGAGACACGGCACAGACACCGACGGGAGGCAGCAGCAGGGAAGCGUGGGAGAAGGACGAAAGACUGAACGAGGAACGCAGGGUGAGUGAAGAAGGGUUUCGGAUCGUAAAACGCCGUUGGGAGAGAAGAACGUUGGUGAGAGUGGAAAGCUCAUCAAGUGACGGUAACUACACAGAAAGAGACGGCUAACUACGUG